CCAUCGCGUAAAUGGGCUUGCUGUUCCAUAGCUUGUAAACGAAGUUUGAGCUCUGAGUUUUCGGAUGAAAGCCCAGUGGUAUCUCUCUGAUAGAAAGAACAUGAAGAAAAGAUGAAAUGAUCAAAGGAAAAAAUUCCUUUAUGAAGUGACAUUUGUGAGAGAGUAAGAUGAAGAAAUGAUAUUGGAAGGUGAGAUAGGGGAAGGAAAGCCCACACUGAAGGUAGAUUUUGGUACUUAUAAGGAGAAAGUGGAGGUCAAACUAAAGUCUUAUCAAGUGAUUCAAUAGCUAAGCAUGUUGAUGAUUAUUCACCUUAAGAUUUCUGUUCAACCAAAUUGUUUUUACUUCUUCUUCACAGCUUUAGUCUAUGUUUUGUAUUAUGAUUCUUGCACUGUAUUGGCAAGUUAGAAGAUUUUUAUUAUUGUUUCCUCUUAUAUACUUUGAGCAUUAGAUUCAUUCAUUAUUUCAAUGAAAAGUCUUGUUUCAGUUAUUAAAAAAAAAAAAAAAAAGAGAAAGAGAAACAAGAAAAGGUAAGGUGAUGUGAUGUGGUGAAUGGACAAAAAACUCCUUUUGGAAACUCCUAUUAGUACACUCAGUAAUCAUUCCUCA